rnacentral:rRNA from 1 species
GAUGAACGCUAGCGGUGUGCCUAAGGCAUGCAAGUCGAACGGGAUCCUUUGGAUUCGUCUGAAGGUGAGAGUGGCGAACGGGUGAGUAACACGUAGGUGACCUGCCCCGGAGAGGGGGACAACCACUGGAAACGGUGGCUAAUACCCCAGAUGUUAUUGCGCUUAGAAAGCAAUUACUAAAGUUCCGGCGCUCCGGGAGGGGCCUGCGGCCCAUCAGCUUGUUGGUAAGGUAAUGGCUUACCAAGGCUAAGACGGGUAGGGGGCGUGAGAGCGUGACCCCCCACACUGGUACUGAGACACGGACCAGAUACCUGCGGGUAGCAGCAGCAAGGAAUAUUGCCCAAUAGGACGAAAGUCUGAGGCAGCAACACCGCGUGGAGGAUGAAGGCC